AUGUAAGAAACCAAAUGUCAUCAAGAACUCGACGGGAGGCGUGAAGCUAUUAUCAUCAAGGCUCUCAACCAUGCAGAUCCUAAGAGCAGUAAUCAGAAUAUCUGAUCGCGGUAAAAUUAUAUGGGUUACUCAUAUUGUUAUUAAUCUCUCUUAAAUGUGUACUAACUUCUUAAGAGUCAUAUAUUUUAUAUUAUAUUUAAGAAUUAAUAGGAGGUUUUUGGAGACGCUCAAAUGACUACUACUAUUAUAACAAGAAGUUAGAAACCCCCGA
rnacentral:lncRNA from 1 species